UGGGGAAUAUUGCACAAUGGGCGGAAGCCUGAUGCAGCGACGCCGCGUGGGGGAUGAAGGCCUUCGGGUUGUAAACUCCUUUCGACAGGGACGAAGCUUUUGUGACGGUACCUGCAUAAGAAGCACCGGCUAACCACGUGCCAGCAGCCGCGGUAAUACGUAGGGUGCGAGCGUUGUCCGGAAUUACUGGGCGUAAAGAGCUCGUAGGUGGUUUGUCGCGUCGUCUGUGAAAUUCCGGGGCUUAACUCCGGGCGUGCAGGCGAUACGGGCUAACUUGAGUGCUGUAGGGGAGACUGGAAUUCCUGGUGUAGCGGUGAAAUGCGCAGAUAUCAGGAGGAACACCGAUGGCGAAGGCAGGUCUCUGGGCAGUUACUGACGCUGAGGAGCGAAAGCAUGGGUAGCGAACAGGAUUAGAUACCCUGGUAGU
rnacentral:rRNA from 1 species